GCAAGUCGAACGAGAAGCUCUAGCUUGCUCGAGUGGAUAGUGGCGAAAGGGUGAGUAACGCGUGAACAAUUUGCCCCUAAGAUGGGAAUAGCCUCGGGAAACUGGGAUUAAUACCGAAUGUGGUCUUCUGUCGCAUGACAGAAUGACUAAACAUUUAUUGCUUAGGGAUGAGUUCGCGUUCCAUUAGCUUGUUGGUGGGGUAACGGCCUACCAAGGCGACGAUGGAUAGCUGGUCUGAGAGGAUGAUC
rnacentral:rRNA from 1 species